UACGUAGGGGGCAAGCGUUGUCCGGAAUCAUUGGGCGUAAAGCGCGUGUAGGCGGCUCGAUAAGUCUGCUGUGAAAGUUCAGGGCUCAACCCUGAAAUGCCGGUGGAUACUGUCGGGCUCGAGUCCGGAAGAGGAGUGUGGAAUUCCUGGUGUAGCGGUGAAAUGCGCAGAUAUCAGGAGGAACACCAAUGGCGAAGGCAGCACUCUGGGACGUGACUGACGCUGAGACGCGAAAGCGUGGGGAGCAAACAGG
rnacentral:rRNA from 1 species